rnacentral:rRNA from 1 species
GAUGAACGCUGGCGGCGUGCCUAAUACAUGCAAGUCGAGCGAACAGACGAGGAGCUUGCUCCUCUGACGUUAGCGGCGGACGGGUGAGUAACACGUGGAUAACCUACCUAUAAGACUGGGAUAACUUCGGAAAACCGGAGCUAAUACCGGAUAAUAUAUUAAACCGCAUGGUUCAAUAGUGAAAGACGGUUUUGCUGUCACUUAUAGAUGGAUCCGCGCCGCAUUAGCUAGUUGGUAAGGUAACGGCUUACCAAGGCAACGAUGCGUAGCCGACCUGAGAGGGUGAUCGGCCACACUGGAACUGAGACACGGUCCAGACUCCUACGGGAGGCAGCAGUAGGGAAUCUUCCGCAAUGGGCGAAAGCCUGACGGAGCAACGCCGCGUGAGUGAUGAAGGUCUUCGGAUCGUAAAACUCUGUUAUUAGGGAAGAACAAAUGUGUAAGUAACUAUGCACGUCUUGACGGUACCUAAUCAGAAAGCCACGGCUAACUACGUG